rnacentral:lncRNA from 1 species
GGGAGGUUAGGAUCUUGUGUUUGUGGCCUCCGCAGCCAGCUUAGGCUGCUCGGUGUCGUGUCGCAGUUAUGUACUGCCAUUUAUUAUGACUCUUAGAAUAUAGUUAUUUCUUACUCUUCCGCUGCCUCCUUUGCUUUUAAAGCCUGUUCUGCCAAGUCUCGCUGGAGAAGGAAACCCCUGAAACUGGUCCUGGUGGUCUCAGACCGCCGCGCGAGCGAAGAGUGGGGAGGACAAAGGUUGGGGAGUUGAGAAGGAUGGAGAUGGGUGCAUCUGGAAGGGAGUCCGUCCUGAGGAGUCCCCCAUCAGCUGUCAGCCAGCCAGCAGCAAAGCAAAUUAAGACUACACAGCUCCGAAGAAGCCAGUUCCCAACCAAGCCAGUGGAGAAAAGUCAGCCCGGUCCCCAGGAGUGCUUGAGGCUCUGUCACUCUUGGACGUCAAAAAGGGUCAUUUGAUGACUGGACGCUUACCUCACCGGUGUGAGAAAACUGCUGACGAUGAAGGCCACACCUACCUCUCCCAUCUGCUUGUCUGGCUG